GAUGGACAUGUUUUUGUUGCUGUAGGAGCAUAAGUCCAGGUUAUCAUUUCAAACCAAACAUCAAACAUCAGCAACAACGUUCGCAUACCAUCUGCAGUUCAAUGAUGGCCCAGAAUCAACAUUUGAGUAAGACAACAGAGGCACAACCUUCAGAGAAAAAGAAAACUAGAUGGUGUGAUGGAUUCAAGAGAUUGCUGGUAAAGUCUAUUCUGAUGAAAUAUUUAAAUAAUAUUUAAGCAGAAAAGCAAUCACCAGGAGAAGGUACUGGCUAACACAAUUGUACCACAUUUUAUUGCCAAGAGGGAAUAUG
rnacentral:lncRNA from 1 species